UUGGGUGUGGCGAAGUGGUGUACUGCCUGUCUAGACUGGUAAGGUCCUGGGUUCAACACCCAGCAUCCAAA
rnacentral:tRNA from 1 species